rnacentral:rRNA from 1 species
GACGAACGCUGGCGGCGUGCUUAACACAUGCAAGUCGAGCGGUAAGGCCCCUUCGGGGGUACACGAGCGGCGAACGGGUGAGUAACACGUGGGUGACCUGCCCUCAGCUCUGGGAUAAGCCUGGGAAACUGGGUCUAAUACCGGAUAUGACUCCAUGACGCAUGUCGUGGGGUGGAAAGCCUUGUGCGGCUGGGGAUGGGCCCGCGGCCUAUCAGCUUGUUGGUGGGGUGANGGCCUACCAAGGCGACGACGGGUAGCCGGCCUGAGAGGGCGACCGGCCACACUGGGACUGAGACACGGCCCAGACUCCGUACGGGAGGCAGCAGUGGGGAAUCUUGCGCAAUGGGCGAAAGCCUGACGCAGCGACGCCGCGUGAGGGAUGACGGCCUGGU